AAGAAAGAAAAUAAAGUAAAGAACAAAGAAAAGAAAUAGAAUAGGCAAACGAAAAGCAGGGGAAGGAAAGAAAGAAAGAAGAAAGAAAAGAAAAAGGAAGAAUUAGGGUUUGAAGGUUUGAAAGUUUAAUAGUUAACAAAGAACCCAAGACAUCGGCGCACAAAGGAAAGGAGAAAGCUAUCGAGGAUUAAAACGAGAAAUUCACGGUUAAUAGAAGUCUAGUGUCCUGGUCCAGCAUCCGAGUGAUCCCGACUUCAGCGAAAAGAUUUUGGGUGAUGUUUUCUUUCUUAAUUGAAAGUGGCAUGUACUAGGUGUUGUAUAAGUUAUAUAGAUAUACUUGUAAAGUUAGUUAUAAGAAUGGUAUACCAUAUUUUGUUAUUAGUUUAAUAAAA